AGUAAGUAAUUCCCUUUCUUCCUGAAACGGAUGUUCAUAUCAGGAGAUCGAUUUGCGAAAAAAUUUAUGUAUAAACAAAAGGAUUACUACCUACUGAGAGAGUGCAUCAACGCACCUCCUUUUCAAAUCGGAUUUAUCUUCAUCGGCGUCGUCUCCAGGUCAGGAUUAUCGAUGCCAACUGAGGUUGAAGAUGAGCGAUCCAUACGAUCUGUGUUCCAUUCUGGAUGAAUUGAAAUGUUAUCCCUUUCUUCGAUCUUGACGUAGGAUCCAUUAGCGUCGGGAGAUCCAUUAAUGUUGCUGCGAUGACCUUGGAUUUGAUGAUUAUGAGCACCUUUGUAUAUGAUUUCAGUAAUAUGCCCAUCAUGGGAACGUUCCACUUUUUUCUUGACUUGACAAUUUGGAUGUGUGCAUUUGUAAUAGCUUCGAGGGUAUUCACUGCCUUUUA